rnacentral:lncRNA from 1 species
AUUCAAACACGGCAGAUCCAUCUUCGUUAAAGGAAGGCGAGUUAGAGGAAAAUCUUUCGCGCAGCGGCAGCUGACGAGACGGUGAAAUUCUGCAUGCUGCGCCGAAAAGAAAAAGAACUCGGAAAACCAUAAUGCUGGCAUCCCGCAGUUGUUUCUGUGCAUGUGCCAUGUACGGGAACGGCAAGACACACAGUUGGCGGGCGGCCAGUCAAGCUGGAAUGAAAAAUGACGAAAUCUACACAACUCCGUCGGCAGCCGGGUAUCUCCUCGUCGCAAAACCCCCCUCGACGGCCUAAUCCCAAAUACCCACGCAUUCAGACUUCGUUGGAAGGCAAAGAAAAAAAUACGCAAGAAGUUCAUCGUCAGUGACACUCCACGGGGGCAUGCUGACAGCCCGAACUACCAACGAUCCACCGCGCCGACAGGUUGCUGCUCUCCGCUGUCGACAGUUCAACCAUGUAUUAUUUAACUCAGUCAAUUCGUGUUAGGUUUGAUAUUCUGUACCAUCCGAUCUAAAAUCGUGAUGUCUUUUUGUUACGUGACGAGCGGUGCUGUCGACAGCUGGUGUAACCCUGCUUCGUCUGUUCCUUUUCGACUCUACAGAGUUCUCCAGGACUGUCUCACGAACCCAUGCUGGAGUUCCUUCGAGAAGUGUUGCGCAGUCCCCGGCCUUACCUCAAAAGCUCGUUUCCCGUGCAUGGCGCUGGCGGCUCGGUCGGCCAUGGUUGCCGUUGCGAAAAUAAUGUACGCGUACGCCCACCUGCCCGGGUGAGGGUCGUACUCGACUCCGAGGACAGUGCCGUAUCUCUCGGCGAGCCUCUUCACAGACGCUCUUGUGAUGUCUGGGGGAAUGUUUCCGACAAACGUUCGGCCGGCCUGAUGGGGAAGUCCCUCACUCCCUACAGGAGGGCACCCGUAAUUCACUGGAGAGCCUACGCCAGGAAAGAGCGAAACGGAGCCCGCGUGGCGCACUCCGCACGCGCCGGGGUUCGAACGCAACACAUGGGACAGCGGCCCGCACGCAAGUUUCAUCGAUGCUUCGCUUCCACUCGAGUUGUCACGGUCCCCAAAGCCGCUGGCGUUACUGGUGCCAAUGUCAAUUCCCACAGGAGAGCAGCCCAGCUGCGACAGAUCCGGUUGACGCCCGUUUCCGUGCAACCUUCCAUCCGCAGGCGCUCGCCUGUCGAAGCUUCCGUUGGGGACGAACCCGUUUGAGAGAGCCCCCAGCUGAAGCAAGUGUUGAAGUUGGAGCGGCGAAACGAGGUUCGUCAGAUUCUGGACCCCAGGUGAGCCAUGCAAGUUCGCCCCGGCGUACGGGAACGCCGGGCUCACGCUCCCGGCCGGUCGGGUGUGUGGCGAAGCCGCCGACAGAGUGCUGUGGGACGGGCAUGUCGUUGAAGAGGAGACCAGCGACGGAGAGCGCCGCGGCGAGGACGCCCCAGCGGUGUCGGGCGCGGGGUGCCGAGCGACGGGGAAAGAGGGCGAGAUGGGAGAAGCGAACGGAAAGUUCUCGUCAGGAAACGCUCGCGACACGAAAUGGGCCGCCUCUCCCACCGGGUGGAUGCCCGCACCUCCGUUUCCAUGCUGUGCUGUACCAAGAAACAAAGACUGGAAAGGAGUUGGCGGCGCCAAGGGCGCUGCGCCGGCAAACCCGGACCCAUGCCCGAUUCCCCACAACCCUGAGACGCGCUGCGCUACAGGAGCACCUGGCGCACCACGGAGAGCAGUCGCGGGACACGCACUCUCUUUCAGCUCUGCGGCUGAAUCUGCGAAGGCGACGGCAGACGCGUUCUCAGGAAGUUGCUGGAAACUGCCCGGGAAGCUGUCCUCGUUGAUUGGAUGCAGCAGUUCCGGUUGCGCACCCCGAUUGUUGUCGGAGGACACAUGACUCCCGCUCGGGGAAACAGCCGGGGGGCUGCCGGUACAGCCCAAAUGUGCCAGGGCGCCCUGCCCGGGGGGAAGCGAAGUGCUGAUACCCUUCGCGCACAGAUUGUAGCUGGUCGGCGUUCCAGAGACAGAUGGCGCCGUCCCCCACGAAGACGAGAUGGAGAAGUAAUCCAGCGUGCGCGCAGGAGACACUGGAGUUCCGCGGUUUCCAUUGCACAGAGCUGCUGUCUCUUGGGAGAGGGAGAGACAUCCGCCGUGGGACCCAACGGGGCCCACGACUUCCUCUUCACACGGCCGUAAAUCUUCACGAAAGACUGCAGGAAGAUCUGGGGGGAAGGAGCGCGUGGACGCAAAUAGGUUGGAGGGGUCGGAGCCUCGGGCGUCGCUGCGGCCGAGCGCUGCAGCGUCCCGCGGGAGGUCUCCGAGACCUGCGAGCAUGCGUUUCAUAUUUCCGUUCUUGCCUUCUCCCCGCUCGUGCUCGCCUUGCCGUUCGCUCCCCCUCGAUUCCCACAAUCGAAGCGCUCGGCUGUUUCCGCGGAACUGUUCUUCAUAUUCAGGUCCGCUUUGGCCGUCCCCGCAUGCAUCCCUCACCUCGACUGGGGCUGACUCCACGCGUGUCUCCUCGCCCCGCGCUUCAGGGGCGACGUCCCCCGCGUCGUCCGCGCGACACGCGUUGUGUGCGUGAACUUCGGAAGUUGCGACAUCCUUCGUCUCCAAUCCGAAGUCGGAUUUCCCCAAACGCGGCCAGGAAGCGCCGAUCAUAUUGGGGACUGCUGACUCACGCGGGCGGGUCUCCGUGCUCCGAAAGAACUCGUCUGUACGUUCGUCUCGACUUGCAAGAUGACGCGGUUCCUCGCCGUCCGCGCUCAUGGUGAAGUCCCGUUAGAAAACCGAG